rnacentral:rRNA from 1 species
AGCGAACGCUGGCGGCAGGCUUAACACAUGCAAGUCGAACGGGCGUAGCAAUACGUCAGUGGCAGACGGGUGAGUAACGCGUGGGAACAUACCUCUUGGUUCGGAACAACACAGGGAAACUUGUGCUAAUACCGGAUAAGCCCUUACGGGGAAAGAUUUAUCGCCGAGAGAUUGGCCCGCGUCUGAUUAGCUAGUUGGUAGGGUAAUGGCCUACCAAGGCGACGAUCAGUAGCUGGUCUGAGAGGAUGAUCAGCCACAUUGGGACUGAGACACGGCCCAAACUCCUACGGGAGGCAGCAGUGGGAAUAUUGGACAAUGGGCGCAAGCCUGAUCCAGCCAUGCCGCGUGAGUGAUGAAGGUCCUAGGGUUGUAAAGCUCUUUUGUACGGGAAGAUAAUGACGGUACCGUAAGAAUAAGCCCCGGCUAACUUCGUGCCAGCAGCCGCGGU